UUUUGUGAUAAAUAUAUGUGGGAUCUUAAAUCUCAAAUUAGCUGUCAACCAAGGCCUUAUUUUGUGUCAUCGGACGUGUCAAUACAAUGGUGUAGACAUGUUUGAAAUAUAUUAAAACUGUAUUUUUUUUGUAUUCAUUUGAAAAUAAAUUAAAUAAAUGCACAUUGCAUCAGAUGUCAGGUCUUCAAAGAGCCUUUUACCCACAAAACAUGUGGAUGGCCACUGCAAAACCUAUGCCG